UGGUGCUAACUAAUCGCUUUUUUGAACUUCUUUCCCAACAAACAGAUCCUUAAAACUCGCAAAACUGCUAGGCUGCCCCGUGGAUUAUCCUGCUCAUCUGGAGUAUUGUUCGCUGAAUGCUGAUCCUAAAAAGAUGUUUCUCAAGCAACAUGAAAACAUUGUACCGCCUUCAGUUUUGCCCUAUCCAUUUGUCCCACAUAUUGAUGGAGACUUCGUACCAUCAGACAUAGAAACGUUGCUAAACAGCUCUACUCUUCCCAACAAAGAGCUGUUGAUCGGCUU